AUAUUGUGCUAAGCGAUCUCGUUAUAGUCAAAACAAUGAAAGAUCCGCAGGAAUUGGGAUUAUGUCAGUUGGAGGAUCAUACGACGCUUCAUAAUGUCGGAAUAACAUAAUUACAUACUUGGACUGUUGGAUACCAAGUCCCGUGUGAUGUUAAAUAGAAGGAAAAACAACUGUCAUGAUACAAAUGGAGAUCGGAUAGAACAAUAAACCAAUUCAAGUGCUUUAAACAUUUCAGUAGAAAAAAUACUGUCACUGCAUAGUUUAGAAAUGUUGACUCAUAAGCUUUAAUUAAUAUUAAUGUAUAUUUUAUCAGAAAUUUUGAGAUUAGGUAAGAAAUAACCAAACUGUUCAAUAUUAUGUACAUUUUUUUAAUUACUGAAUUUAAAAGACCAUAUUUAUUGAAGACACUUCAAAACGCA